GCGCUCAUCGCAGAGCAGCCCCUGCUGCGCGCCUGAGCCCUAACAAUCUGAUUGGCUACCUCCUGUUCUGUAAUUCUCAGCUGCCCACUACCAAACCCAGGAAAUUAGAAAUACAAAACGAAGCAGACUCGGUCAAUUACAUCGCGCGCUACUACACACUUCGAGAUAAUGCUCCAGGUCCUUCUACUGUUGAUGAAGAAACAAUGAGAUCAACUUAAUCAAGCCUUCAUUAAUUUGGUACCAGCUUGUGCGCAAU